GACGAACGCUGGCGGCGUGCUUAACACAUGCAAGUCGAACGGAAAGGCCCUGCUUUUGUGGGGUGCUCGAGUGGCGAACGGGUGAGUAACACGUGAGUAACCUGCCCUUGACUUUGGGAUAACUUCAGGAAACUGGGGCUAAUACCGGAUAGGAGCUCCUGCUGCAUGGUGGGGGUUGGAAAGUUUCGGCGGUUGGGGAUGGACUCGCGGCUUAUCAGCUUGUUGGUGGGGUAGUGGCCUACCAAGGCUUUGACGGGUAGCCGGUCUGAGAGGGUGACCGGCCACAUUGGGACUGAGAUACGGCCCAGACUCCUACGGGAGGCAGCAGUGGGGAAUAUUGCACAAUGGGCGGAAGCCUGAUGCAGCAACGCCGCGUGCGGGAUGACGGCCUUCGGGUUGUAAACCGCUUUCGCCUGUGACGAAGCGUGAGUGACGGUAAUGGGUAAAGAAGCACCGGCUAACUACGUG
rnacentral:rRNA from 1 species